rnacentral:rRNA from 1 species
UGGACGGCAAGUCUGGUGCCAGCAGCCGCGGUAAUUCCAGCUCCAAUAGCGUAUAUUAAAGUUGUUGCAGUUAAAAAGCUCGUAGUUGAAUUUCGGGAUUAGUACGUUGGUCGUGCCUUAGGUACGUACUGGUGUUACUGGUUCCUACCUUCUGACGAACCAUCAUGUCAUUAAUUUGGUGUGGCGGGGAAUCAGGACUAUUACUUUGAAAAAAUUAGAGUGUUUAAAGCAGGCUCGCGCUUGAAUACAUUAGCAUGGAAUAAUGAAAUAGGACGUUGACCCUAUUUUGUUGGUUUCUAGGAUUGACGUAAUGAUUAAUAGGGAUAGUUGGGGGCAUUAGUAUUCAAUUGUCAGAAGUGAAAUUCUUGGAUUUAUUGAAGACUAACUACUGCGAAAGCAUUUGCCAAGGAUGUUUUCAUUAAUCAAGAACGAAAGUUAGGGGAUCGAAGACGAUCAGAUACCGUCGUAGUCUUAACCAUAAACUAUGCCGACUAGGGAUCGGAUGAUGUUAAUUUUUUAAUGACUCAUUCGGCGCCUUACGGGAAAC